UUAAGUGUUAUUGUUAUGCCGAAUAUGUGUAUGUUAUUCCGGAUCAAUUUAAUUUAACUUCGAAGAGGCCAUGUUUAUUUACUUCAUUGGUUGAGUUUUUUCUGGAAGGUCUUUCAGCUACAACUUAAUAUAGAUUGUAAUAAUAAAAUUGUCUGCUUCGCAAGUUGCGGUGGUACGAAAAAGUUUAUGGUGCUCCUCAGCUUUGGGCGUUUUUGGCGAAUACUGUGGUGAGCUGGUUCGAGAGUUUCCCGGCCAGCCAAUAAACUCUACUGAACUGCACACUAAUUGGGCAAAAUGUUUAAAAAAGUGGCCAUUCACAAGGAGACGAUGCAGCAGCACUUUUGGGGCGAUAAACGGCUCAGGUGGACGAAUUGUAGAAGAAGCUACAUUAUGGCAUGCAUUAGCAUUGGUUUGGUAUUCCGUGUUAAAACUUAAUUGAUAGGAUAAGUGGAAUUAUGAAUGCAUGUUUUAUGUUCAUUGAAUAAACCAGAAAAAAAAAUCAA